rnacentral:rRNA from 1 species
AUUGAACGCUGGCGGCAUGCCUUACACAUGCAAGUCGAACGGUAACGCGGGGCAACCUGGCGACGAGUGGCGAACGGGUGAGUAAAGCAUCGGAACGUGCCCAGUAGUGGGGGAUAGCCCGGCGAAAGCCGGAUUAAUACCGCAUACGACCUACGGGUGAAAGGGGGGGAUCGCAAGACCUCUCGCUAUUGGAGCGGCCGAUGUCAGAUUAGGUAGGUGGUGGGGUAAAGGCCUACCAAGCCUGCGAUCUGUAGCUGGUCUGAGAGGACGAACAGCCACAAUGGGACUGAGACAAGGCCCAGAGUCCUACGGGAGGAAGCAGUGGGGAAUUUUGGACAAUGGGCGCAAGCCUGAUCCAGCCAUGCCGCGUGCGGGAAGAAGGCCUUCGGGUUGUAAACCGCUUUUGUCAGGGAAGAAAAGCCUUGGGUUAAUACCCUGGGGUGAUGACGGUACCUGAAGAAUAAGCACCGGCUAACUACGUGCCAGCCGCCGCAGUAA